rnacentral:rRNA from 1 species
CUGAUACUGGCAAGCUUGAGUCUCGUAGAGGGGGGUAGAAUUCCAGGUGUAGCGGUGAAAUGCGUAGAGAUCUGGAGGAAUACCGGUGGCGAAGGCGGCCCCCUGGACGAAGACUGACGCUCAGGUGCGAAAGCGUGGGGAGCAAACAGGAUUAGAUACCCUGGGUAGUUCCACGCCGUUAAACGAUGUCGACUUGGGAGGUUGUGCCCCUUGAGGGCGUGGCUUUCCGGAAGCUAAACGCGGUUAAGUCGGCCGCCUGGGGAGUACGGCCGCAAGGGUUAAAACUCAAAUGAAUUGACGGGGGCCCGCACAAGCGGUGGAGCAUGUGGUUUAAUUCGAUGCAACGCGAAGAACCUUACCUGGUCUUGACAUCCACAGAA